CGUUUAAGACGAAGACGUUGAUAGGCUGGGUGUGUAAGCGUAGCGAUACGUUGAGCUAACCAGUACUAAUGAACCGUGAGGCUUAACCUG
rnacentral:rRNA from 1 species